rnacentral:miRNA from 1 species
CAGCAGACACCUUCCAGCCAAUCAGCAGCAGACCCUCCCUCCCAGACCCUCCCACCUCCUGGACAGCAUCCAUUUUACAUUCAUUGUGAAGCUGCAUUCUUAGUGAGCUGUCCAGAAGGUGUGAGGGUCUGGAAGGGAGCGUCUGCUGCUGAUUGGCUGGAAUGUGUCUGCUG